UACGUAGGGGGCGAGCGUUGUCCGGAGUUACUGGGCGUAAAGCGCACGCAGGCGGUCUGCUAAGUUUGGAGUGACAGUUGGUGGCUUAACUGCCAGAGUGCUUCGAAAACUGACAGACUUGAGGGCUUCAGAGGGACACGGAAUUCCGGGUGGAGUGGUGAAAUGCGUAGAGAUCCGGAGGAACACCAAAGGCGAAGGCAGUGUCCUGGGGAGUACCUGACGCUCAGGUGCGAAAGCCAGGGGAGCGAACGGG
rnacentral:rRNA from 1 species